AUUGAACGCUGGCGGCAUGCUUUACACAUGCAAGUCGAACGGCAGCGCGGGCUUCGGCCUGGCGGCGAGUGGCGAACGGGUGAGUAAUACAUCGGAACGUGCCCAGUAGUGGGGGAUAGCUCGGCGAAAGCCGGAUUAAUACCGCAUACGACCUGAGGGUGAAAGCGGGGGAUCUUCGGACCUCGCGCUAUUGGAGCGGCCGAUGGCAGAUUAGCUAGUUGGUGGGGUAAAGGCCUACUAAGGCGACGAUCUGUAGCUGGUCUGAGAGGACGACCAGCCACACGGGGACUGAGACACGGCCCAGACUCCUACGGGAGGCAGCAGUGGGGAAUUUUGGACAAUGGGCGAAAGCCUGAUCCAGCAAUGCCGCGUGUGUGAUGAAGGACUUCGGGUUGUAAAGCACUUUUGGCGGGAACGAAAAGGACUGUGCCAAUACCACGGUUCGAUGACGGUACCCGCAGAAUAAGCACCGGCUAACUACGUG
rnacentral:rRNA from 1 species